AUCGAUGAAGAACGCAGCGAAAUGCGAUAAGUAAUGUGAAUUGCAGAAUUCAGUGAAUCAUCGAAUCUUUGAACGCACAUUGCGCCCAUUAGUAUUCUAUUGGGCAUGCCUGUUCGAGCGUCAUUUCAACCCUUAAGCUCAGCUUAGUAUUGGGAAUCUACUGUGAGUGGUGCUACCCUGUAGCUACCCUGUAGUUCCUCAAAUCGAACGGCGGAGUUACAGUUAUCUCUGAGCGCAGUAAUUUUUAUAACGCUUUGGAAGAUGCUGUAAUCCCAGCCGCUAAACCCCCAAUUUUUUAAUGGUUGACCUCGGAUCAGGUAGGAAUACCCGCUGAACUUAAGCAUAUCAAUAAGCGGAGGAAAAGAAACCAACAGGGAUUGCCCUAGUAACGGCGAGUGAAGCGGCAACAGCUCAAAUUUGAAAUCUGGCCUUUGGUCCGAGUUGUAAUUUGUAGAGGAUGAUUUUGGUGCGGUACUUUCCGAGUUCCCUGGAACGGGACGCCUUAGAGGGUGAGAGCCCCGUACGGUUGGAUGCCUAGCCUCUGUAAAUCUCCUUCGACGAGUCGAGUAGUUUGGGAAUGCUGCUCUAAAUGGGAGGUAAAUUUCUUCUAAAGCUAAAUACUAGCCAGAGACCGAUAGCGCACAAGUAGAGUGAUCGAAAGAUGAAAAGCACUUUGAAAAGAGGGUUAAACAGCACGUGAAAUUGUUAAAAGGGAAGCGCUUAUGACCAGACUUUUUCUAGGCGGAUCAUCCGGUGUUCUCACCGGUGCACUUCACUUAGUUUAGGCCAGCAUCGGUUUCUAUAGGGAGAUAAAAGCUUUAGGAAUGUGGCUCUUUCGGGAGUGUUAUAGCCUAUUGUAUAAUAUCCUUACGGGGACCGAGGUACGCGCUCUGCAAGGAUGCUGGCAUAAUGGUCAUUAGCGACCCGUCUUGAAACACGG
rnacentral:rRNA from 1 species